rnacentral:rRNA from 1 species
UACAGAGGGGGCAAGCGUUGUUCGGAAUUACUGGGCGUAAAGGGCGUGCAGGCGGUUUGUUAAGUCUAGGGUGAAAGCUCCCGGCUCAACUGGGAGAGGUCCUUGGAUACUGGCGAACUUGAGGGAUGCAGAGGAAAGUGGAAUUCCCGGUGUAGUGGUGAUAUGCGUAGAUAUCGAGAGGAACACCGGUGGCGAAGGCGGCCUUCUGGACAGUGACUGACGCUGAGACGCGAAAGCGUGGGGAGCAAACAGG